UAUGAUGAGAGUUUAAAUUCCUACCACAGCCAUAUAAACAUGCUUGUUACACUUUGAGCCACACAUUUACUAUUUACUGCUUAUGAGCAUUGAGUGUGGUCAAGCUGUGUAGACCCUUAGGAGCUUGUCAUGUUGUUAAAUCAAGAUUCACUUGCACGUUCACUCACAUAUGCUGCUUCUACUCCGGAAGUACCAUCCACAUAUAUCCAUCCAUUUCCAUCUCUAGAAUCACCCAAAAAUAUUCUACUCCUAAUCCGGGAGAGAAUAGCCAAAAAUAUUUCUGUUUAUCCCUUGUGAAAUAAAUGCUCAAGUUAUCUUGUUACUACCACUUGCUAUAUUAUCUCAAGAGAUGAGUGCUCUGAAGAAAAAAAAGAUACGAGAAAAUAAAAAGGGGCAAGUCCCCGGAACCUCGAAAGAAAAGAAAAAGUGAGACGAGAGGUAAAAAUGGACAAGUGUCCGACAGUAGAAUUAGGGGUACAAGAUACCCACCUGAGAGAAAAGAAAAAGAAGAGCAUCUCAUUCUCCUCAUAAAGUUUCAGAAAGCAAGGAAGGUAUGUAUCCCCUCAAAAGAGCAAAAGUAGAAUUAGACUUUCACCAUUGUUAUCACCAUCACCAUCAUUACCAUACACCAUUCAUUUGCCACACAUGCACAUCUUGAUUUGGCUUAUUGAUUUGUUUCUUUGUGUCCAUGGUUUGACUAUACAAUAAAUGUCUUGUACGUAAGUAUGUAUACUUUAUCUCCCACCUAUGAGCUCCAGAUAUUAAAGCCUUAUUAGAGUAGGGUGAGAGAGAAGGCAAUAUGCUUUAUACCAUAAAUACCAUAUAUAUUGAGAGAAGGCAUAUACCAUCACUACCUUGGUAAGGAUCCAGAAAUACCACAAAAGAGAGAUCUGAGAGAGUCAUACAAGGAAUCUCUGAGUUUUAUUUGAAA
rnacentral:lncRNA from 1 species